UACAUUAUAUAACACAUUGUGU
rnacentral:siRNA from 1 species